rnacentral:rRNA from 1 species
UACAGAGGGUGCAAACGUUGCUCGGAAUCAUUGGGCGUAAAGCGUACGUAGGCGGCUUGGUAAGUCGGUAGUGAAAGCCCUCGGCUUAACCGGGGAAGUGCACCCGAAACUGCAAAGCUAGAGUCUCGGAGAGGAUCGUGGAAUUCUCGGUGUAGAGGUGAAAUUCGUAGAUAUCGAGAGGAACACCGGUGGCGAAGGCGGCGAUCUGGACGAUGACUGACGCUGAGACGCGAAAGCGUGGGGAGCAAACAGG